GACUGGAGGAGAGGAUGCCUGUGAGACAAGGUGUAAGAUCAUAUGAGGUGAUAUAGCCAAGUCAUAUAGAAGACUCCAGGGUCUUUGGACAACUCACUCGACUGGCUCUUCUUUCCUUAGCUAUGAGGAAAAAGGGUUUGCUGAGAGGAGGAGAAGGUGACUGUGUAUAAGCGACAGCCCCACAAGGAUGCUGUGAGAGACUCUGCUGGAGGCUCCACUCCGGUGUGGGACAUGGAAGUUUCCAUGGGAAGUACCCAUCUCGCCCCGCCCACUUGGUUUCACACUGUAUACUGUGCUGAAGACAGUGCUGGCAUUUCAGCUUGAACACUAAGCGGUGACUCAGAGCCAACAGAAGUGUGGACCGCUGUUUACUCAAAAGGAAGCCUUUGGUGUGACAAAUUAGAGUGGGCUGCUACAUUGUGCAGGACUCAUGAGCCAAACAGCUUGAAAAUAGCACAUAGCACUGCGGCAGGUGUCAAAGGGCUUCCCCUCAGAAGAACCAGAGGUCCGUCUUUCAUCUGGAACUGGCUAGGAAAGAGGCUGGCAAGUCACCAAAUCCAUCAUCCUAUCUACCAAGAGCUCACAAAAGGAAGGAACUGGAAGGAGAAGGCUCAACAAUAAUAAAAGCUGAAUGACCUUAAAGAAAGAACAUUGGAAGACAGGCAGUAAAGAAGUGGAGACUAGGAUUU
rnacentral:lncRNA from 1 species